rnacentral:tRNA from 1 species
ACCUGGGUGGCUCAGUUGGUUAAGCCUCUGACUUCAGCUCAGGUCAUGAUCUCAUGGUUUGUGGGUUCAAGUCCCACAUCAGGUU